UACAGAGGGGGCAAGCGUUGUUCGGAAUUAUUGGGCGUAAAGAGCUCGUAGGCGGUCUGUCACGUCGGCUGUGAAAACCCGAGGCUCGACCUCGGGCCUGCAGUCGAUACGGGCAAACUAGAGUACUGCAGGGGAGACUGGAAUUCCUGGUGUAGCGGUGAAAUGCGCAGAUAUCAGGAGGAACACCGGUGGCGAAGGCGGGUCUCUGGGCAGUAACUGACGCUGAGGAACGAAAGCGUGGGGAGCGAACAGG
rnacentral:rRNA from 1 species